GAGUUUGAUCGUGGCUCAGAUUGAACGCUGGCGGCAUGCCUUACACAUGCAAGUCGAACGGUAACAGGUCUUUCGGGAUGCUGACGAGUGGCGAACGGGUGAGUAAUACAUCGGAACGUGCCUAGUAGUGGGGGAUAACUACUCGAAAGAGUGGCUAAUACCGCAUGAGAUCUAUGGAUGAAAGCAGGGGACCUUCGGGCCUUGUGCUACUAGAGCGGCCGAUGGCAGAUUAGGUAGUUGGUGGGAUAAAAGCUUACCAAGCCUACGAUCUGUAGCUGGUCUGAGAGGACGAUCAGCCACACUGGGACUGAGACACGGCCCAGACUCCUACGGGAGGCAGCAGUGGGGAAUUUUGGACAAUGGGCGCAAGCCUGAUCCAGCAAUGCCGCGUGCAGGAUGAAGGCCUUC
rnacentral:rRNA from 1 species